rnacentral:rRNA from 1 species
CUAACGGCUGAACUGGCAACUUGGAGAAGUGGCAAGUCUUCCAGUAUGGGGAGCAAAACAGCUAUGGGUCAAGUCCGAUAUCUUUAGGAGAAGUCUUAUUGUGAGGGCGAGUUAUAUAACACCGUAGGACUGGCCGUCCCAUAUGAAAAGAUUAUAUUAGAAUUGAAUGAAGCUUUGUUUAUAUAUUGAUAAUGACAGUAUAUAUAUCGUGUCUUGACUAAUUGCGUGCCAGCAGUCGCGGUAAUACGUAAGAGACUAGUGUUAUUCAUCUUAAUUAGGUUUAAAGGGUACCCAGACGGUCAAUAUAGCUUAUAAAAUGUUAGUACUUGACUAGAGUUUUAUGUAAGAGGGCAGUACUUGAGGAGGAGAGAUGAAAUUUCGUGAUACCAAAGGGACUCUGUAAAGGCGAAGGCAGCCCUCUAUGUAAAAACUGACGUUGAAGGACGAAGGCACAGAGAACAAACAGGAUUAGAUACCCAAGUAGUCUUUGCAGUAAAUGAUGAAUGCCAUAGGUUAGAUUGGUCAAUUAUAGUCUAGGGUUAGUCUAGCAAACUAAUACCUAUACUAUUAUACCUAAUAUCUGGUCUAUAAAUGAAAGUGUAAGCAUUUCACCUCAAGAGUAAUGUGGCAACGCAGGAACUGAAAUCACUAG